rnacentral:misc_RNA from 1 species
AUUACAUUUAAAACUUGUGAAUGCGGUGGAUGUGAUUUAUGAUUGUUACGCAGGUUCUGCUAGUUUAGGUGGUUUACUUCACGGUUACAUUCCCUUACGUCAUCCUGCUCAUACUGUUGGUCCGUGGUGCGACUCUACCUGGAGCCGGAAACGGAAUCAAGUACUUCCUGUCUCCCGAUUUUAGCCGUUUACAGGACGCUCAGGUGUGGAUUGACGGAGGGACACAGGUGUUCUUUUCGGCGGCUAUCGCCAUUGGAGCCAUGAUAAGUCUGGGAAGCUACAACGAUUUUCAUACAGAUUUUUACAAGCAUACCAUGAUUGUAGCGGGUAUUAAUAGUGGUACCAGUUUCCUCAGUGGUUUUGCGGUGUUUUCUGUUCUUGGGUUUAUGGCACAUGAACAAAAUGUGGACAUAGACCAAGUCGCCGAAUCAGGUCCUGGUUUAGUAUUCAUCGUGUACCCCAAGGCAGUCACCAUGAUGCCUCUUCCUCAACUUUGGGCCAUCCUAUUCUUUUUGAUGCUGUUUUUAAUUGGAAUUGACAGUGGGUUUGUGAUGGUAGAAUCUGUGGUAGCACAUAUAAGCGACAUGUUUCCACGACAGCUGUAUAAGACUAAAGGAAGAAUGAUUCUGACAGCAGUUUUGUGUUUUUAUGGUACACAAUGGGACUUUCUAUGGUGUCCAGGGGAGGAAUGUACGUCUUCCAGCUAUAUGACUACUAUUCAGCCAGUGGUGUAGUUCUACUCUGGGUAUGCUUCUGGGAAAGCAUCGUAAUUGGAUGGGUAUAUGGGUCAGAAAAGUUUAACGACGCCAUAGAGGUAAUGAUAGGAUACAGAAUCAACAAAUGGUUCCAUAUAUGUUGGAAGUACCUCACACCUCUUGUAUGCACAGGUAUUUUUGCGUUUCAAUUGAUUGGAUUUAAACCCUUGAAAUACAAUAAUGAGUACGAGUACCCUCCUUGGGCCCAAGGAUUCGGACUGAUGCUGGCCCUGGUGUCCAUGUGCUGUAUACCUUUCUACGUGGUGGGCAAACUUUUAUCACUCAAAGGUCCAAUCAAAGAGAGAAUCAAGAAAGCGAUUGUACCAAAACUAACAAAAGAUCAAAUUUCUAAGAAGUCGAGGAACAAAGAUGGUGCCUUAUUGUUACAGCAAAUCGAGACUUAACCAAUAUCGAUAUUAAUCAUAGUAUACAUAAUAUGUAUACAUAAUAUCUUUUGAGUACUGUGGAAUCAUCAUAACUCUUCUUAGCCCAGUGCUGGUGGAUGUUGUGGUUUCCGCUUCAAAUUUAAAUCAACUGGAAUUCGGUAUUGGUAUCAAUGUAUUAAAAUAUAUUUCUAAGAAUAAAAUCAUAUAUGUAUCAUC